GUCGAACGUGAAAGCACUUCGGUGUGAGUAGAGUGGCGGACGGGUGAGUAACGCGUGGGAAUCUGCCCAGUAGUGGGGGACAACUACCGGAAACGGUAGCUAAUACCGCAUACGCCCUAUGGGGGAAAGGCUUCGGCCGCUAUUGGAUGAGCCCGCGUCAGAUUAGCUAGUUGGUAGGGUAAAGGCCUACCAAGGCAACGAUCUGUAGCUGGUCUGAGAGGACGAACAGCCACACUGGGACUGAGACACGGCCCAGACUCCUACGGGAGGCAGCAGUGGGGAAUAUUGGACAAUGGGCGAAAGCCUGAUCCAGCAAUGCCGCGUGUGUGAAGAAGGCCUGCGGGUUGUAAAGCACUUUCAGUUGGGAAGAUGAUGACGUUACCAACAGAAGAAGCACCGGCUAAAUCCGUGCCAGCAGCCGCGGUAAUACGGAUGGUGCGAGCGUUAAUCGGAAUUACUGGGCGUAAAGCGCGCGUAGGCGGCUAAGUCAGUCAGAAGUGAAAGCCCCGGGCUCAACCUAGGAAUUGCUUUUGAUACUGCUUGGCUAGAGUUUGGUAGAGGAUAGUGGAAUUCCAGGUGUAGCGGUGAAAUGCGUAGAUAUCUGGAGGAACAUCAGUGGCGAAGGCGACUGUCUGGACCAAAACUGACGCUGAGGUGCGAAAGCGUGGGUAGCAAACAGGAUUAGAUACCCUGGUAGUCCACGCCGUAAACGAUGUCAACUAGCCGUCGGGUCUAUUUACAGACUUGGUGGCGCAGCUAACGCGAUAAGUUGACCGCCUGGGGAGUACGGCCGCAAGGUUAAAACUCAAAGGAAUUGACGGGGGCCCGCACAAGCGGUGGAGCAUGUGGUUUAAUUCGAUGCAACGCGAAGAACCUUACCAGCUCUUGACAUCCAGAGAACUUUCUAGAGAUAGA
rnacentral:rRNA from 1 species